AUGAUAGUUGCAAAGACAUUUUCCUUUGGAAAUUCAAAUUCAUCGUUGAUAUCUCUUCUUCUAAUUUCAUCUUCCCUUUACUUCUUCUCUAUCUCUCCACUCCUCGCCAAAUCUUCUCCUCACCCAAUCUCUGAUGUUCAAGUUAGGAGCAACAAGCUUCAAUGCUAUGCUGAUAUUGACAGUGAAAGUAGUAUGUUUAUGUCUGUGGUUGUGUCCACCAACAAACGCAUAGAGUAUUGUUUUAUAUGGCUUUCCUUCAACGUUAAGCAUUAA